AUUGAACGCUGGCGGCAGGCCUAACACAUGCAAGUCGAGCGAGCGGCGGGCGGGUGUGGAAUGCCUGGGCAUCGCCAAGUCGUGGGGGAACUCAGUUGGACAAGACUGCUAAUACCGCAGACGCGUGGCUUGCCAAUGGGGGUUUCGAUAGUUGGUGGGGUAAUGGCUCACCAAGGCGACGAUCCCUAGCUGGUCUGAGAGGAUGAUCAGCCACACUGGAACUGAGACACGGUCCAGAGUCCGACGGAAGGCAGCUGGGGGGAAUAGUGCACAAUGGGGGAAGGCCUGAUGCAGCAAUGCCGCGUGUGUGAAGAAGGCCUGCGGGUUGUAAAGACCUUGCUGCGAGGAGGCGUUACACGCAGAAGAAGCACCGGCUAACUCCGCGCCAGCAGCCGCGGUAAUUC
rnacentral:rRNA from 1 species